GGCGCCGAUCUCGCAAAUGAUUAAACCUUAACCCUCGGGCCCUUAGAGUCCCAAACGAGAGUGAGAGGAGAUCUGAGAAAAUGAGAGAUGACAAACACAGAGGUGGUCUGGAAACCCUAACAAUGGCAUUGGCUCUGUGAUAGGAGCCUUCGCUGGAGAUCAGAGACAUGAGCGUGAAGAAAGAGAGAGACGACACGACGGGGCAUGAAGAAAAGCUCCUCCAAUGCGAUUCUUGUUUUGCGAGGUUUAACGCCUCGAUGGCCGCCAUUGAUCCACGAUCGGAUCCGUUCAAGAUCUCACCGUUGAAAUCGCGUAGUAAUUAACACCAAGACCAGAGAUCUGAUGGGGCUAGGUACACUCCCUGGCAGCUUGUUCAAGAUGCGAUAGGGUGCGAUGUGGAUUAAUAGAGGCACUGACAGCGGGCCUUCCAUAUCUUUAAGGAUAUCUAAAACCAGAGGCUACCAAGAUUUUGACUCAAAUUUCCUUUUCGUUUUUUUUGUGACUAAUUUGAUAUAAUUUCAAUCAAAAAAGAAGUCUGUAUAGUAUCAGUUCUUUUAUUUGAGUGCUGCGGAUUGUAGUAAUUACAAGCAAACCACAUCAACUUCUUUAUGGUAGCAAGCUAUGUAAAACAGUCAAAGCCUCCAGAUGUAGACAUCGAAGAACCAACCCAGCUCUCCCAUCUUUACCCAUGAAACUCUCCAACCAGCCAGUCGAAAUCGAACCAGACGCCUCUCAAGAAGAAACAGCUGCUAGUUACAUCCGAAGGAAAGAGAGGGCAAAAAAGGGAAAACACAAAACAAUCAGCUAAGAGCAAAACCGUGAUUUCACUGUGAUGAUGAGAAAAAUGAGUUUGCAAAACAGUAAAAAGAAAGGUAUUUUCGUCAUUUCACUGUGCUUAGCUACAGUGUUUAGUUGCAUUGGGUUUUAGUAUAUAUAGAAUUUGUGUGCAUGGUUUUCCUUUUCUUU